AUUGAACGCUGGCGGCAGGCCUAACACAUGCAAGUCGAGCGGCAGCGGAAAGUAGCUUGCUACUUUGCCGGCGAGCGGCGGACGGGUGAGUAAUGUCUGGGAAACUGCCUGAUGGAGGGGGAUAACUACUGGAAACGGUAGCUAAUACCGCAUGACCUCGAAAGAGCAAAGUGGGGGAUCUUCGGACCUCACGCCAUCGGAUGUGCCCAGAUGGGAUUAGCUAGUAGGUGAGGUAAUGGCUCACCUAGGCGACGAUCCCUAGCUGGUCUGAGAGGAUGACCAGCCACACUGGAACUGAGACACGGUCCAGACUCCUACGGGAGGCAGCAGUGGGGAAUAUUGCACAAUGGGCGCAAGCCUGAUGCAGCCAUGCCGCGUGUGUGAAGAAGGCCUUAGGGUUGUAAAGCACUUUCAGCGAGGAGGAAGGCACCAUACUUAGUACGUGUGGUGAUUGACGUUACUCGCAGAAGAAGCACCGGCUAACUCCGUGCCAGCAGCCGCGGUAAUACGGAGGGUGCAAGCGUUAAUCGGAAUUACUGGGCGUAAAGCGCACGCAGGCGGUUUGUUAAGUCAGAUGUGAAAUCCCCGCGCUUAACGUGGGAACUGCAUUUGAAACUGGCAAGCUAGAGUCUUGUAGAGGGGGGUAGGAUUCCAGGUGUAGCGGUGAAAUGCGUAGAGAUCUGGAGGAAUACCGGUGGCGAAGGCGGCCCCCUGGACAAAGACUGACGCUCAGGUGCGAAAGCGUGGGGAGCAAACAGG
rnacentral:rRNA from 1 species